rnacentral:rRNA from 1 species
AACGAACGCUGGCGGCAUGCCUAACACAUGCAAGUCGAACGAGACCUUCGGGUCUAGUGGCGCACGGGUGCGUAACGCGUGGGAACCUGCCCUUAGGUUCGGAAUAACUCCCCGAAAGGGGUGCUAAUACCGGAUAAUGUCUUCGGACCAAAGAUUUAUCGCCUUUGGAUGGGCCCGCGUUGGAUUAGCUAGUUGGUAGGGUAAAAGCCUACCAAGGCGACGAUCCAUAGCUAGUCUGAGAGGAUGAUCAGCCACACUGGGACUGAGACACGGCCCAGACUCCUACGGGAGGCAGCAGUGGGGAAUAUUGGACAAUGGGCGAAAGCCUGAUCCAGCAAUGCCGCGUGAGUGAUGAAGGCCUUAGGGUUGUAAAGCUCUUUUACCCGGGAUGAUAAUGACAGUACCGGGAGAAUAAGCGCCGGCUAACUCCGUG